rnacentral:tRNA from 16 species
CGGGGUGUAGCGCAGGUUGGUAGCGCGCAGCUUUGGGGUAGCUGAGGUCGUGGGUUCGAAUCCCGCCACUCCGA